UCAAGAAACUUCCACAAUGGGCGAAAGCCUGAUGGAGCGACGUCGCGUGAAGGAUGAAGUAUUUCGGUAUGUAAACUUCGAAAGAAUAGGAAGAAUAAAUGACGGUACUAUUUAUAAGGUCCGGCUAACUACGUGCCAGCAGCCGCGGUAAUACGUAGGGACCAAGCGUUGUUCGGAUUUACUGGGCGUAAAGGGCGCGUAGGCGGCAAUUCAAGUCAUCUGUGAAAUCUCCGGGCUUAACUCGGAACGGUCAGAUGAUACUGCUUUGCUAGAGUGCAGAAGGGGCAAUCGGAAUUCUUGGUGUAGCGGUGAAAUGCGUAGAUAUCAAGAGGAACACCUGAGGUGAAGACGGGUUGCUGGGCUGACACUGACGCUGAGGCGCGAAAGCCAGGGGAGCAAACGGGAUUAGAUACCCCCGUAGUCCCUGAGCGGGCUGGCAAGGCGCAU
rnacentral:rRNA from 1 species